rnacentral:rRNA from 1 species
UACGUAGGGUGCGAGCGUUGUCCGGAAUUACUGGGCGUAAAGAGCUCGUAGGUGGUUUGUCGCGUUGUUCGUGAAAAACUCACAGCUUAACUGUGGGCGUGCGGGCGAUACGGGCAGACUAGAAUUCGGUAGGGGAGACUGGAAUUCCUGGUGUAGCGGUGGAAUGCGCAGAUAUCAGGAGGAACACCGGUGGCGAAGGCGGGUCUCUGGGCCGAGAUUGACGCUGAGGAGCGAAAGCGUGGGGGAGCGAACAGG